rnacentral:misc_RNA from 1 species
AAGUCAUAACAAGGUUUCCGAUAAGGUGGACCGUGCGGAAGGAUCAUUAAAUAAUGCCCUCUGACGCAAGUCAUUGGGUUAGAUCUGCUCUCUUCGACAAGAAGAGGGUUUCCAUACACACCGUGAAACUGUGGCUUCGGCCAUCACAAACUGUUAGUAAUGAAUGUAAUAUCAUAACAAAAACAAAA